UGGGCAAUCUGCCCUUCUCAUCGGAAUAAGCGUUGGAAACGACGUCUAAUGCCGAAUACGACCUCCUUUCGCAUGAUCGGAGGUGGAAAGCUCCGGCGGAGAAGGAUGAGCUCGCGGCCUAUCAGCUAGUUGGUGUGGGUAACGGCCCACCAAGGCGACGAUCCGUAGCUGGUCUGAGAGGACGAUCAGCCACACUGGGACUGAGACACGGCCCAGACCUCUACGGGAGG
rnacentral:rRNA from 1 species